rnacentral:lncRNA from 1 species
CACUCCGCCAUUUUCCUCCGGAAGUGUGGCACCCAGAGGCGGUCCUGUAGCUGGGCCGGCUUGGGGCUUGGUUCUAUGUCCCUGUGGCUAUGUUUCCAGUGUCCUCUGGGUGUUUCCAAGAGCAACAAGAAACGAAUAAAUCUCUGCCAUAGGAGUUUUAGCCAAUUCAGAGGCCUUGCUCCCUACAAUUUGGAACAUUCCUUUGGAUUUGACCAAGUCAGGAAGAG